rnacentral:rRNA from 1 species
AUCAUGGAGAGUUCGAUCCUGGCUCAGAACGAACGCUGGCGGCGCGUCUUAAGCAUGCAAGUCGAGCGGGAUUACGUAGCUUGCUACGUAUGAGAGCGGCGGACUGGUGAGUAACACGUAGAUAACGCACCCUUCGGACAGGGAUAGCCUGUAGAAAUAUAGGAUAAUACCGGAUGCGAAGUACAGGGGAAGGGCCUGUACUGGAAAGGAGCUUCGGCUCCGCCGGAGGAACGGUCUGCGGCCCAUCAGCUUGUAGGCGGGGUAAAGGCCCACCUAGGCAAUGACGGGUAUCCGGCCUGAGAGGGUGAUCGGACACAUUGGGACUGAGAUACGGCCCAG